CACACACACACACACACACAGUCCAGUGUUGACCUGAAUGAAUGGAUCACACACACACACACACACACACACACACACACAGAUGAGGAUGUUGGGACAAUGGCCUGGUCUCAGGGGCUUCUGUCUUGUCUGAGUUCAUGUGGAAGCUGACCCUUCGUUCCCUUCCCACACCCCACCUGAGAGAAACCUCUAUCAGUAUCACUCGUCCUGAUAUAGCUACAGGUCAGUCUGAGGUCAGUGUGCUGCCCACCUGUCAGCAGUGCAUUGCUGGAAUGAAUGUGUGUGAGAGUGAACUGGAGAUGAGGUCACAGGAAGUCAAGCCCUGGCUGCAAUUUUGCGGAAAAAGGACACUUCCUGUCCGCUUCCCGAGUCCGUU